UGCAUGACAAUGAUCCACAGGUAAAGAAAAAAACCGCGUGGUCUUGACUCUGGGUUAAAAUUAUUUGCAAAUUAAAUAAGUAGUGAAUACUUAGCAAAAGUGAAUUUUGGAUUGCCUGUGCUACCACCCCUUGUGUGGCUAAUCAAGAGUGAUAAGCUUUGUUGCUGCUCUUUCUAUUUGAACCAUAUUGAGCAUGAGUCCUCUUCAUUUACUCUUCAAGGUUUGUCACCUUAUCGCUGAGCUUUUCAGGUCAAGUACUAAACCUUUCUAUUUUCUCUGUAGAAUAAGUUCUUGUAUUUUUUUCUCUUAUUCUCAGUAGACUCAGACUGUUUGCGUCGUGUGAUACAGUCAGGACUUUAGUCACGAGGAAAUGCAUUUACCUCUAUUGAAGCAGUAAAGAGGUUUACAAUGACAUUUCUCAUCUACUUUUUUUAAAAUCUAAUGCCAAUGCCUCUUAAAAUUC